rnacentral:rRNA from 1 species
AUGAUUGCUAAGGUAACAUCUAGUGAGCCUCAUGUGGACAUUAGCACUACUUUUAGUCAAAAUGCUAUAUUGCCUUGUGCUAGUCCUCGUAAUUCGUCUAUGCAUAACAUUGGUACAUCUUGUGAUGAAUUGCUUUCCUUGCCUUGUUGCUCCAAUGAUGAAGCUUAUACUUCCUCUAGUACUUGUGUUGAGACUAACCAUGUAGAGGAAAUCAAAGAGCUCAAGGCCCAAGUCACUUCUUUGAAGAAAGACUUGGAAAAGUGUCAUGAAGGGAAAUCCACACUCAACAAUAUCUUGAGUGUGCAAAAAUCCCCCAAUGACAAAGGUGGACUUGGAUUCAACUCCAACAAGAAGAAGAAGUCCAAGAUGAACAAGAAGAAGGGCCAAGAACAUGUCAAGAAUUUGGCCAAGAUUAUUUGCUUCAAGUGCAAAAUUGAAGGGCACCAUGUUAGAUCUUGCCCAUUGAAGAAGAAGUCCAUUAGUGACAAGCAACAAGGGAAGCGGCUACAAGUGCAUUCUCAUGCUCAACCUCAAGUUGAAGAAAGGCCUCUUCCCAAGAAGACUCAAGCUAAUGCUUCUCAAGUUGAGAAAUCAAGUGAGAAGAAAGUGAAGAGUAGACGUUGCUACCUAUGUCGUGAAAAAGGUCACGUCGCUUCUUCAUGCACGAAUGGUACCUUAUCCAACCCUAUUCUAAUUGAUGAUAUCUAUUCUCUUGGGAAGGAUAAGGUUGGCAAUGUGUUUGCCAAAUUUGUUGGUACUCAAAGUGGUGUCAAGAAAAGAACCAUUUGGGUAGCCAAGCCUAUUGUGACUAACCUCUUAGGACCCAACUUGGUUGGGGACCAACUAGCUCAUACUUGA